CCUGCCAAAAUGCCACCCGCAUGGCUGAUUUCUUGGUCCGAGUGAGACAGCAGUUUCCCUUGCUGGAGGGCUGCCUUGUGCCACGGCUGGUCGGCACAGCCUUUUCUUUUCUCCUGGGUCAGCAGAAGCUCUCGGCAUCUAGUGUACUUCCCUGGCCAAAAGCCAAGAGCGGUGUCCACGUCUGUGUUCAUCGUGGCGAUUCUGGUCCUGCUGCUGCUCUUGUAUCACCGGGACCCCAUGUGUUGCCAGUUUCUCUGCUCGUGCCGCUUCUUCCAGAGUCCUAGCCAGUAUGACUGCCCCCCUCCAUACUUCAGCAGCAGCCAGCGGCUGGUGGGACCCCAGCAUGGAGCGUCGCGACUGGAGAGCGCUGCCGAGAAUCCUGGCAUGCAGGUGACGUUGGCUGACACCGUCUUCCCUAACAGGAGCCGGGGGCGGGGGAAAUGGUAGCAAAGAUCCUGAUGAACUUGGGAAGGGGCUUUGGUUAUGGGUGCCUGGGAGGCUCUUGGGUACUACAGUAUCUAGAGCAACUUUGAGAAGUGCUGUCUGCAUGUUAUAGCCCUUUGAGGAGGGCCACAGGGUGCUACAUCCCCCUGCCAUGAGAUGUUUUGGCAUUUAGUGCCAGGCAGAUCCCUCUUGGCCUGGGAUCUUGCAAAGCAGGUCUGCAUCAUGAGACUGUGGUGUAAUUACCUCCAAGAUCAGGCUCCAGGGAGGGUUUGCAGAUUUCUUCCUUCAGGAUCCAAGGAAGGGCACUCAUGACUCCGCACUCUGAAGUAACUUGAGGUGACACCAGGCCAUGAACUUCCAGCUAAGACAGAGACCAGUGCACUGAGGUUUCUCUUCUGGGCUG
rnacentral:lncRNA from 1 species